AUGACUCAUGUGGCAGAGUACCUGCCUACCAAGCAGGAGGCUCUGAGUUCAAACCCCAGU
rnacentral:tRNA from 1 species